AAAAAGUCCAUGUCUUACCUUGAAUGGUACAUGAAAAACUCUUUGGAAGAGGCAGGGUAUUAUGACAAAUAUAAAACCAGACGUUCCAGAAGCAGAGACGAGAUUGCAAGCACAGAAAACCUAAUCAAGCAUCACAGAACUUUGAAGCUUUUCUGGAAAAGAACAGUAACUGAAGUGGAAAAUUUGCCCUGGAAGGAGGGGAGAACUCGCCGAAAG
rnacentral:misc_RNA from 1 species